rnacentral:lncRNA from 1 species
GCCGCCACCGCCUCAGGGAAGAGGAAGGAGGCCGCGGCUUCGCGUCCCGCCUCUCGCCUGGCUGGCCGUGGGGGGCCUGGACGCAGUGGCCUCCCGAAUCUCCCAGGACCCUAAUAUCGCCCGAGGAUGCUGGGAGGAACGCUGAGCCGACCUCUCCGUUAGGCUGAAGAUUGCACAAACCAUGCUAAUGGCCAGCAUGGAUGGAGGGAGCGUGUGAGAUGUGUGGGGCAGCGUGCUGCAUCUCAGCCAACUCCAGGAGAUGGAACGAAGUCUGUUUGUGGAAACACCCUUCCCCUCUGUUUACUUGGACCUGAUUUUGAAAGUAACAAGUCACUUUAUUUGGGCUGGAGGAAAAAGCACUAAACCAGAUGUUGAGGUGACCGGGAUUCCUGGAAGACAUUCUUCUCUCCAACGAGACACAUGAUGCAUGAAGUAGGAGCCCCUGGCAAGGAGCCCAGGCUGCCAUGGCCUCGCUCGCUCCUGCUUCCCGGCAUGGCCCCGAGGCUAGCUGCCUCUGUACUGCCUGAGCAUCGUCCCCUGGCGUGUCACCAGACUACCCACUACCUGUGCUUGCACCUGCAGGUGGGCAGUUCAGUCGUUGCAGGCUGAAGCUCCCUGUCACAGGAGUCCAUCAGCACUGGAGUUUACCAAAUGGCCCAGUCCAGGAAGCAUGCUCAUGGCAAUACCCGGAGUCUCCACUGCAAGACCAGAGUGACGGAGGCAGCAGAGCUCCUCAGCAGGCCAGGAGUCUCC